UACGAAGGGGGCAAGCGUUGUUCGGAAUUACUGGGCGUAAAGGGCGCGUAGGCGGCUUACCAAGUCAGGCGUGAAAUUCCCGGGCUCAACCUGGGGGCUGCGCUUGAUACUGGUGAGCUUGAAUGCGGGAGAGGAUAGUGGAAUUCCCAGUGUAGAGGUGAAAUUCGUAGAUAUUGGGAAGAACACCGGUGGCGAAGGCGGCUAUCUGGCCCGUAAUUGACGCUGAGGCGCG
rnacentral:rRNA from 1 species